UGCAGGAGUCGCUUCUGGCGG
rnacentral:misc_RNA from 1 species